rnacentral:rRNA from 1 species
UGACCUCAAAUCAGGUAGGACUACCCGCUGAACUUAAGCAUAUCAAUAAGCGGAGGAAAAGAAACUAACAAGGAUUCCCCUAGUAACUGCGAGUGAAGCGGGAAAAGCUCAAAUUUAAAAUCUGAGGGUCCUUGCGGCCUUCCGAGUUGUAAUCUAGAGAAGUGUUAUCCGCGCUGGACCGUGUACAAGUCUCCUGGAACGGAGCGUCAUAGAGGGUGAGAAUCCCGUCUUUGACACGGACUACCAGGGCUUAUGUGAUGCGCUCUCAAAGAGUCGAGUUGUUUGGGAAUGCAGCUCUAAAUGGGUGGUAAAUUCCAUCUAAAGCUAAAUAUUGGCGAGAGACCGAUAGCGAACAAGUACCGUGAGGGAAAGAUGAAAAGAACUUUGGAAAGAGAGUUAAACAGUACGUGAAAUUGUUGAAAGGGAAACGCUUGAAGUCAGUCGCGUUGUCCAGAAAUCAACCUUGCUUUUGCUUGGUGUACUUUCUGGUUAACGGGUCAGCAUCAAUUUUGACCGGUGGAUAAAGGUCAGGGGAAUGUGGCAUCUUCGGAUGUGUUAUAGCCCUUGGUUGCAUACAUCGGUUGGGAUUGAGGAACUCAGCACGCCGCAAGGCCGGGUUUUAACCACGUACGUGCUAGGAUG